ensembl:lncRNA
CCAGAGCUCUCUGAUGUCCCCAGAGCUCUCCGUUGUCCCCAGCCCUGAGGAGGCCACUCCAGAUUUGGGGUGAAAUCCUUUAAUUGGUCAACUUUGGGACCCCCUGGAGGCUCCUCGGGGACAUCCCAUGGACACCACGGUGGCUUUGGGGACAUCCCAUGGACACCACGGUGGCUUUGGGGACAUCCCCUGGACACCACGGUGGCUUCUCAGGGACAUCCCAUGGACACCACGGUGACUUUUGGGGACAUCCCAUGGACACCACGGUGGCUUUGGGGACAUCCCAUGGACACCACGGUGGCUUUGGGGACAUCCCACGGACACCAGGGUGGCUUUGGGGACAUCCCAUGGACACCAUGGUGGCUUUGGGGACAUCCCAUGGACACCACGGUGACUUUUGGGGACAUCCCAUGGACACCACGGUGGCUUUGGGGACAUCCCCUGGACACCACGGUGGCUUUGGGGACAUCCCAUGGGCACCGGGGUGGCUUUGGGGACAUCUCAUUGUCACCCUGGUGGACCCUCGGGGACAUCCCAAGGACACCAGGGUGGCUUUUGGGGACUUCUCUGUCACCUUGGUGGCUCCUCAAGGACAUCCCAUGGACACCACGGUGGCUUUGGGGACAUCUCUGUCACCCUGGAGGCUCCUCAAGGACAUCCCACGGACACCACGGUAGCUUUUGGGGACAUCCCACGGACACCAGGGUGGCUUUGGGGACAUCUCAUUGUCACCAUGGCGAACCCUUGGGGACAUCCCAUGGGCACCAGGGUGGCUUUGGGGACAUCUCGUUGUCACCCUGGUGGACCCUUGGGGACAUCCCAUGAGCACCACGGUGGCUUUUGGGGACAUCUCAUUGUCACCUUGGUGGCUCCUCAGGGACAUCCCAUGGACACCAUGGUGGCUUUGGGGACAUCCCAUGGGCACCAGGGUGGCUUUGGGGACAUCUCGUUGUCACCCUGGAGGCUCCUCAGGGACAUCCCAUGGACACCACGGUGGCUUUGGGGACAUCUCGUUGUCACCAUGGCGAACCCUUGGGGACAUCCCACGGACACCACGGUGGCUUUGGGGACAUCCCAUGGACACCACGGUGGCUUUGGGGACAUCUCCGUCACCCUGAAGGCUUCUCAGGGACAUCUCAUGGACACCACAGUGGCUUUCGGGGACAUCUCAUUGUCACCAUGGCAGAGCCUUGGGGACAUCCCACGGACACCAUGGUGGCUUUGGGGACAUCUCGUUGUCACCCUGGAGGCUCCUCAAGGACAUCCCAUGGACACCAUGGCGGACCCUCAGGAACAUCUCAUUGUCAUCGUGAAGAACUCUUGGGGACAUCUCAUUGUCACCAUGAAGGACCCUUGGGACAUCUCAUUGUCACCAUGAAGAACCUUUAGAUCACCACGAAGAACCUUCAGGACCAGCCCAUUGUCACCGCGGUGGCUUUUGGGUGCCACCACCCCAUUGUCACCUUGAUGGACCAUCAGAAACAUCUCAUUGUCACCAUGAAGAACCUUUAGGUCACCACGAAGAACCUUCAGGACCAACCUGUUGUCACCAUGGUGGCUUUUGGUGACCCCACAGUCCCCAGGAACACCUCAUUGUCUCCAUGGUGGCUCUUGGUGGCCCCAUGGUCCCCAAGAACACCCCACUGUCACCAUGAAGGACCUUCAGGACCACCCCACUGUCCCCAUCGUGGUUUUUGGUGGCCCCACGGUCCCCAAGGACACCCCAUUGUCACUGUGGUGGCUUUUGGUGACCCCACGAUCCCCAAGGACACCCCAUUGUCUCCAUGGUGGCUCUUGAUGGCCCCAUGGUCCCCAAGGACACCCCACUGUCCCCAUGGUGGCUUCUGGUGGCCCCACUGUCCCCAAGGACACCCCAUUGUCAUCAUGGUGGCUUUUGGUGGCCCCAUGGUCCCCAGGGACACCUCAUUGUCUCCAUGGUGGCUUUUGGUGACCCCACAGUCCCCAGGAACACCUCAUUGUCUCCAUGGUGGCUUCUGGUGGCCCACUGUCCCCAAGGACACCCCACUGUCACCACGAAGGACCUUCAGGACCACCCCACUGUCCCCAUGGUGGCUCUUGGUGGCCCCACGGUCCCCAAGGACACCCCAUUGUCUCCAUGGUGGCUCUUGAUGGCCCCAUGGUCCUCAAGGACACCCCAUUGUCACUGUGGUGGCUUUUGGUGACCCCACGGUCCCCAGGAACACCCCAUUGUCUCCAUGAUGGCUUCUGGUGGCCCCACUGUCCCCAAGGACACCCCAUUGUCAUCGUGGUGGCUUUUGGUGACCCCACGGUCCCCAGGGACACCUCAUUGUCCCCAUGGUGGCUCUUGGUGGCCCCAUGGUCCCCAAGGACACCCCACUGUCCCCAUGGUGGCUCUU